rnacentral:rRNA from 1 species
UACGAAGGGGGCUAGCGUUGUUCGGAAUUACUGGGCGUAAAGGGCGCGUAGGCGGCGCGAUAAGUUGGGCGUGAAAGGCCCGGGCUCAACCCGGGGACUGCGCUUGAUACUGUCGCGCUGUGAGUCCGGGAGAGGAUGGCGGAAUUCCCAGUGUAGAGGUGAAAUUCGUAGAUAUUGGGAAGAACACCGGGUGGCGAAGGCGGCCAUCUGGACCGGCACUGACGCUAGGGCGCGG